rnacentral:rRNA from 1 species
AUUCCUACGGGAGGCAGCAGUGAGGAAUAUUGGUCAAUGGCCGGAAGGCUGAACCAGCCAAGCCGCGUGAAGGACGAAGGUGCCAAGCAUUGUAAACUUCUUUUGUCAAGGGACAAAAUCAGGCUCGAGAGCCUGACCGAGGGUACUUGAAGAAAAAGCAUCGGCUAACUCCGUGCCAGCAGCCGCGGUAAUACGUAGGGAGCAAGCGUUAUCCGGAUUUAUUGGGUGUAAAGGGUGCGUAGACGGGUAUAUAAGUUAGUUGUGAAAUCCCUCGGCUCAACUGAGGAACUGCAACUAAAACUGUA